AGGGGCAGCAUGUGGUUGCUGCAACCAAUGAUGGCGACCGGCGCACGGGUGAGUAACGCGUAUCCAACUUCCCCAUAGUAGAGGAUAGCCCGGCGAAAGUCGGAUUAAUACUCUAUGUUGUGUCAUGAGGACAUCUGAAUAACACCAAAGAUUUAUCGCUAUGGGAUGGGGAUGCGUCUGAUUAGCUUGUCGGCGGGGUAACGGCCCACCGAGGCAACGAUCAGUAGGGGUUCUGAGAGGAAGGUCCCCCACAUUGGUACUGAGACACGGACCAAACUCCUACGGGAGGCAGCAGUGAGGAAUAUUGGUCAAUGGGCGCGAGCCUGAACCAGCCAAGUAGCGUGCAGGAAUGACUGCCCUAUGGGUUGUAAACUGCUUUUAUGCGGGAAUAAAGUCAGGUACGUGUACCUGUUUGUAUGUACCGCAUGAAUAAGGACCGGCUAAUUCCGUGCCAGCCGCAGC
rnacentral:rRNA from 1 species